rnacentral:misc_RNA from 1 species
GAACGCACAUUGCGCCCUCUGGUAUUCCGGAGGGCAUGCCUAUUCGAGCGUCAUUACAACCCUCAAGCUCUGCUUGGCCUUGGGCGUCACCGGUAACGGUGGGCCCCAAACCCAGUGGCGGUGCCGUCUGGCUCUAAGCGUAGUAAUUCUUCUCGCUAUAGAUGCCCGGUGGAUGCUUGCCAGUAACCCCCAAUUUUUUCAGGUUGACCUCGGAUCAGGUAGGGAUACCCGCUGAACUUAAG